GAAAUGCAGAUGGCAAUAAACUGUGUAGGAGUUCAUGAUUGCAAUAGAAUAAAAUUGACCAAGCCUGAAGUCAGCAGCCCCUUCAAUGAAUGCAGCAGUGUGACAGCCAACAAUCAAAAGUUACAAGAAGAUAUCGAGGAAAUGCAGAAGGCAAAAAACUGCGUAGGAGAUCAUUAAUACAAAAGUAUUAUAUAAACCAAACCUGAUGUUGCCAGCUCCUUCAAUGAAUGCAGCAGUGUGACAGCCAGCAAUCAAAAGUAACAAGAUAUCGAGGAAAUGCAGAAGGCAAAAAACUGCAUAGGAGAUCAUUAAUACAAUAGUAUUAUGUAAACCAAGCCUGAUGUUGG
rnacentral:lncRNA from 1 species